CCGACGCAGGCGCGGCCCCGGGCGGCCUGGAAAACCCGAGAUGGAGGAGGGAGGCCGCGGAGCCGACGCGCGGCACCACUGCGCGCAGUGCCGCGCGUGGGGCGGGGGCGGGAGCCGGGCUGGGGUCAAGGUCGGCGCGGGCAAGCGGCGGGGGCCUGCAUGCGCCUCACCCGGCCCAGCGCUUUGCAGCUGCUGUCACGCGCGUACACUCAGGCUUGGCCGGAGCCUGCCGCGUGCUGGCAGCUGAAAUCCAGGCGUUUCCACGGUUGCAGUGGCUGUGAGACCCCAGCAGUAUCCACCACAUCCAGGGAACCCAAGCCAGAAGGUAUAAAGAGGGUGAGCUUGUCCCACUGCACUGAUGUGUCUCAAGGAUGUCCCUACUAUGUAGACAUAAAGCUCCUUGAUGAAAAGAUGGACAAUGCCCAGCAAGUGGAAAUGGUAACUACCACAUGGUUCUGAGAAGGAAAGCAAUUACUGACACUGGCUCCAGACCAGAGGGGCUUGCACCAUCCAUUCCAAGUGCUCAGUGAACAGCUGCUGGGUACCAGGCACAGGACAGGCUUGCACAGACCAGUAAGCAGGCCCCGGCUGCCACGUUCCAGCCUGUGUGCAAGAAGAACCAAAGGGAAGCAGCACCCAACACCCACUGAGAUGGAGGAGCAGCACUCAGGAGAUGCCCUCAGCGUCUGGCAGCAUUGCCACUGUUUACAUUGAGCCACAGAAGGAAGAGAUGUGAAGGAGACAUACCCGAACCAGGGCUUCCAAAGCUUUGUUCUUUCAUCCAGGGGCUGUGUCCUUGCCGGACACAAGUGUGGGAAGAGAGCACGACCACAGGCCCCCUGCCUGGUGAGGCUUAUGGAGGACCCACAGUGCACGCGUGAGCUCUUACAGGCACAGCCAGGGAGCAGCACAGAGGGCAGAGUGAGGGGACGAAGAGGCAGGCAGGAGGGUCAGGGGAGGAGGACACCUCCGACCCGAGGCCUGAGGGAUGUGACCUCGGCAGAGAUCAAGGGCAGCAGCCCAGAGGUGGGAAGAGGCCCCUGCAUGAGGGGGGAGAGAGCCAGGGAGCCGUUCAGAGGCUGCUGCUCCACGAGGCCACAUUCUCAGUUUCCUUACCUGCAAAAGGGGCCCUGCACUGGCUGCUCUCAGAAGCCUCUUCCAGCUCAAACUCUCCAUUCUGAGGAGGCUCUGGGGCUACCCUUCUUGAAAACCCUCUUUUUAGAAGAAAAGAUUCGAACAAGGCCUGACACUUCCAGUGUUUCUAUCCGAGCUGUCCUGACGGGGGAAAGUGCUAUCAGAAUUGUGAUUCGGUCAGUAAACCCUCCUGCAGCAUUCUCUGCCUGCCAGGUACUUCUCUAAGGACCGUCUGGAUACCGGCUCGGGCCAUCCUCACGGUACACCUCUGACUGACGGAAGCUCUGACUGCCCGCAUGUUACUGCUCGGAGGCAGAGAGGUUGACUAACUUGCCCAUGUCAGCAGAGCCAGUCUGCCCUUCAUUACUUCGCUGGAGAAACAAAAGGCUUCCUGUGUGCCCUUCACAGCAGAGAGGAUGCAUACUGACAAUAAAAUAAUCGUGAACUUUGAUACUCUUUAAGAAACAAAAAUUCAGAGUAACCACCACCACUGGAACUGGUUUCUAACAGAAUACUAUGCACAAUUCGUGAUGAGAAGUCCUGUGAUCUUGAGAAUGUAACACCGGGUUUCAUAUUUUCCUACUAAAAAACCUUCAGAAGCUCAUGGUUAGACACCAGAGGGAAGCCAGACCCAGCAGUCUGUUUCCUCCCUGUCCAGCUCCUGCCCAACUUUCCCAGUUCUUCCCACUACUCCCAGGUGGCCUGGAGGACCUGUGCCCACCAGCCCCUUGGCACUGCCUGCACCCAGCUCUACCCUAACCGCCACUUGCCCAUUGAUCCCUGCAUUCCACCUUUGUUCAUCAGCUGCCUGUACCCGGCACCCUCCCCCCACCUAUCCAAUUGCUUCUUGCACAAAGUAUUCCAGUGCUGAGGCAACUCUGCUAGGCUCUCCAGGGCCCCAGACUUCCUAACUUGCUGUGUUCUGUGACAGUUAAUAACAUGGUGCCUCCCUUGCAUCGUUGCUUACUUUCUGUACUGUUGCUUUUCAUGAGUUUGUGGUAUAUGCCUUGUCUCCCUGACUCUGUUAUUGCAGACCUUGAGCUGUAUAUCUGACUCACUCCCAGUGAUGGGCACUCAGCACGAAGCUGCCUCGGGAAAUCAGGCCACUCCAUCCAUCUGACUGGGCUGCCAGGCGCCACUUUCAUCUCUGUCCUUGGCUGGGGGUAGCCUGUCCAUCUCGACAAGAUGGAGACAGCACUUUGAAUUGCAUGGAAAAAAAUGUACUCUACAGAGAGGAGACAAAUAUGGCCAAGCUUUCAGAGGAAAUAUAAGGUAUGUUCAUUAAAAUAUGUCCCUGCUGAUAAUCAGCACUGGAAAUUCAAAAGGUGUUACCUUGAAUAAAUGUUAUUUUUCACA